rnacentral:rRNA from 1 species
UGGUUGACCCUGCCAGUAGUCAUAUGCUUGUCUGAAAGAUUAAGCCAUGCAUGUCUAAGUAUAAACAAUCUUAUACUGUGAAACUGCGGACGGCUCAUUAAAUCAGUUAUAGUUUACUUGAUCAUAUUUCUUACUUGGAUAACCGUAGUAAUUCUAGAGCUAAUACAUGCAAAAAAUCCUUUAUUCUCGCAGUAAAGGAUGAAUUUAUUAGAUUAGAACCAGCGCAAAGUCCUAGACUUUGAGUUAUGGUGAUUCAUAAUAACUAAUCGAAUCGCAGAGACUUUUAGUCGGCGAUGAUACAUACAAAUUUCUGCCCUACCAACUUUCGAUGGUAGUAUAGAGGACUACCAUGGUUAUAACGGGUAACGGGGAAUUAGGGUUCGAUUCCGGAGAGGGGGCCUGAGAGAUGGCCACCACUUCCAAGGAAGGCAGCAGGCGCGCAAAUUACCCAAUCCCAAUUCGGGGAGGUAGUGACAAGAAAUACCAGUACAGGGCCCUAUGGGUACUGUGAUUGGAAUGAAUACAAUUUAAAAACCUUAAUGAGGAACGAUUGGAGGGCAAGUCUGGUGCCAGCAGCCGCGGUAAUUCCAGCUCCAAUAGUGUAUAUUAAAGUUGCUGCAGUUAAAAAGCUCGUAGUUGGAUUUCGGUAAGUAAAAAUUUAACAUCCAUCUCUAAGAUGUGAUUUAAUUUUUAUUUCCUUCCUUUUGAAUACACUCCCUAAAAUUUAUUUUAGGGACUCAGUGUUUCAAAUCGUUUACUGUGAAGAAAUUAGAGUGUUCAAAGCAGGCGUAACCUAGCCUUUGAAUAUAUUAGCAUGGGAUAAUGAAAUAGGACUUUAGUCCUACUUUCGUUGGUUUCUAGGGCUGAAGUAAUGAUUAAUAGGGAUAGUUGGGGUCACUAGUAUUUAAUUGUCAGAGGUGAAAUUCUAAGAUUUAUUAAAGACUAACUACUGCGAAAGCAUUUGACAAGGAUGUUUUCAUUAAUCAAGAACGAAAGUUGGGGGAUCGAAGAUGAUCAGAUACCGUCGUAGUCUCAACCAUAAACUAUGCCGACCAAGGAUCCGGGGUUGUUAAUAUGGAUGACUCUCCGGGCACUUAUAGAGAAAUCAUAAGUAUUUGGGCUCCGGGGGGAGUAUGGUCGCAAGGCUGAAACUUAAAGGAAUUGACGGAAGGGCACCACAAGGAGUGGAACCUGCGGUUUAAUUUGACCCAACACGGGGAAACUUACCAGGUCCAGACACAGUGAGGAUUGACAGAUUGAGAGUUCUUUCUUGAUUCUGUGAGUGGUGGUGCAUGGCCGUUUCUAGUUGGUGGAGU